UUAAGAUGUUGCGUAUCUUUAACUUUCUAUUCCAUGCUUCAUAUAUGUAUUUGAUUCCCAAAGAUUUGUACAAUCUUUGUGAGCAAUAUCGGAAGAAGCUUAUUAUUUUCUAGUUGAAGGUGUGCCCCUACUGCUCCUCAAAUUUGUUCAGCUUGUUUAUUUGUGGGUGCAGUGCAGUAUUUUUCAUAUGCAUGUUUAUUUGUGGGUGCACUUUAUUUCUAAGACCUUGUAAGUUUCUCGAAAUUAUUAACAGCAACCAGUCACCUGGCGCCUAUUCAGCAGGACUUGGAUUGGCAUUCUUUAGUAUCAACGACUUUUACAAGUAAAGAAAAUGAAUAGCAUACCAGCUCAUAGUUGCAUAAGAAGUGGGCUAACAACCUUUAUCAAGGAGUUAUGCUUCCAUUACCCGUUCCUCUAAAGCCAGCUGAUGUUGGUGACAAUAAUUGUAGUGAAACUAGUUGAAGUUCCAUAAACCGAUCCUAUCUUGAGUUUGGGUGAUAUUUAUUUGAAGUUUAAGCAAGUUUUGUAGUGAUUUGAAGUUAAAGCAAAUUUUUAUAGUGAUAUGAAGUUUCUUG